CCGUCUGCUGCUGCCUUUACUUUGAGCCGUUCAGAGGGGAGGAAGCGCUCAGCUAAUGCGCUGUUGUGCGUCUUCAAAAUAAAAGCAUGCGAGUGGAAGAUUUUAAAAUUCUUCGCACCUGAGGUGAAAUUAUUGGGGGGGGACGAAUGUGACUCUCUCCAAUAUUGGGCGGGACAUGUCCCCCUCGCCCCCCCCCCGCUUCCUACGCCUAUGAUCUCAUAUGAUCUCAGAUUAUUUAUGAACAGGAUGUUUUUCCUUGUUUCGCAGAAAAUGUUGAUUAUUCCUCUUGUGAACUUGACAGUGAGCAAAACGGUUCAGCUUCAGGCAGAUUAAGCAGAAUUUAGUGAGACGGACAUGAGGAAAUAAACAGCUGAGAAUCGACGAUACCCGCCCCACCCGGGAGAUCCAAGGAGAUCCCACAGCAUCAUCUGGUUACAUGUCAACCACUCCCACAGGACAGACAGGAAAGAAAGGAGCAGUGUGUUCAAGGGCCUUGUCUUUUUGCUGGGAUUCUGUCUCCAGCUCCACCAUUAACAGAGAAAGAGUCUCAUCAGCAGGUAAGAAGAUCUUUUUUUUUUUUAAAUAAAAGAAUUUGCUAAAAUUUUCUUUUAUAAUAAGCAAGUUAUGUUUACAUAUCAUCAUUGCAGUGAGGUCACAUUUCGACUUUCAGCAGUGGCUAAAUGAGUCCAGUUUU